AGCGAAGCGCUUACGACAGAACCUUCGGGGGAAGAUGUAAGGGACUGAGCGGCGGACGGGUGAGUAACGCGUGGGUAACCUGCCUCAUACAGGGGGAUAACAGUUGGAAACGGCUGCUAAUACCGCAUAAGCGCACAGUGUCGCAUGAUACAGUGUGAAAAACUCCGGUGGUAUGAGAUGGACCCGCGUCUGAUUAGCUAGUUGGAGGGGUAACGGCCCACCAAGGCGACGAUCAGUAGCCGGCCUGAGAGGGCGACCGGCCACAUUGGGACUGAGACACGGCCCAAACUCCUACGGGAGGCAGCAGUGGGGAAUAUUGCACAAUGGGGGAAACCCUGAUGCAGCGACGCCGCGUGAGCGAAGAAGUAUUUCGGUAUGUAAAGCUCUAUCAGCAGGGAAGAUAAUGACGGUACCUGACUAAGAAGCCCCGGCUAACUACGUGCCAGCAGCCGCGGUAAUACGUAGGGGGCAAGCGUUAUCCGGAUUUACUGGGUGUAAAGGGAGCGUAGACGGCAAGGCAAGUCUGAUGUGAAAACCCAGGGCUUAACCCUGGGACUGCAUUGGAAACUGUCUGGCUCGAGUGCCGGAGAGGUAAGCGGAGUUCCUAGUGUAGCGGUGAAAUGCGUAGAUAUUAGGAAGAACACCAGUGGCGAAGGCGGCUUACUGGACGGUAACUGACGUUGAGGCUCGAAGCGUGGGGAGCAAACAGG
rnacentral:rRNA from 1 species